GGCCGCUUGCUGGAACGGUAGACAGACCGGACUUAAAAUCCGUUGCCCGGAUGGGCGUGAGGGUUCGAGUCCCUCAGCGGCUACCA
rnacentral:tRNA from 1 species